rnacentral:rRNA from 1 species
UGNNNNUNAAAGGAAUNNNCGGGGGCCCGCACAAGCGGNGGAGCAUGUGGUUUAAUUNGAAGCAACGCGAAGAACCUUACCAGGUCUUGACAUCCCGAUGCUAUUCUUAGAGAUAGGAAGUUACUUCGGUACAUCGGAGACAGGUGGUGCAUGGUUGUCGUCAGCUCGUGUCGUGAGAUGUUGGGUUAAGUCCCGCAACGAGCGCAACCCUUAUUGUUAGUUGCCAUCAUUAAGUUGGGCACUCUAGCGAGACUGCCGGUAAUAAACCGGAGGAAGGUGGGGAUGACGUCAAAUCAUCAUGCCCCUUAUGACCUGGGCUACACACGUGCUACAAUGGUCGGUACAACGAGUUGCGAGCCGGUGACGGCAAGCUAAUCUCUGAAAGCCGAUCUCAGUUCGGAUUGGAGGNUGCAACUCGCCUCCAUGAAGUCGGAAUCGCUAGUAAUCGCGGAUCAGCACGCCGCGGUGAAUACGUUCCCGGGCCUUGUACACACCGCCCGUCACACCACGAGAGUUUGUAACACCCGAAGUCGGUGAGGUANCCUUUUAGGGGCCAGCCGCCUAAG